rnacentral:tRNA from 3 species
GGUCUCAUAGCUCAGCGGGAGAGCGUCCGCCUCACACGCGGAAGGUCGCUGGUUCGAUCCCAGCUGGGACCACCA